CUCUGUAUUGCGUUGGAAACUGUGUAACUAGAGUACUGGAGAGGUAAGCGGAACUACAAGUGUAGAGGUGAAAUUCGUAGAUAUUUGUAGGAAUGCCGAUGGGGAAGCCAGCUUACUGGACAGAUACUGACGCUGAAGCGCGAAAGCGUGGGUAGCAAACAGG
rnacentral:rRNA from 1 species